UCGAGUGGCGUCGUGAAUUCGGCGUGAUUGAAGCUUCGUGGAUUCGAAGUGGAGGCGUUCGUGGAUUCGGACGUGAGGGCGUGAACAACCCGGAGGGUAGCGCGAAGAUUCAUAGGAGGUUAAGAGAGGUUAAGUCCGUGGAGUCGGUAAUCACCUUGUAAUCUUUUCUCUUAGUGAAUUAUUUUUUUCGCGUGUUGGUCCCGUGGGUUUUUCUCCAAGUUGGAGUUUUCCCACGUAAAUCUCGGUGUGCUUUUUAUUUUCCGCAUUUAUUUUUAUUGCAUCGAGAUUUGUGGUUUUUGGCCGUUCA
rnacentral:lncRNA from 1 species